AUGCUCCAGGAGCUGUUCAAGUACGACCCUCAACAUCCCGAAGUGUUCAGGUUGCCGGGGGGUGUCGUUCCGCUGUGCAACAACUCCGCGCUCGACCGCAUCCGUGCAAUGAUGCCGCUGCGCGAUUCGCAUGGAAUUGUCCCAACUUGGCAAGAGCCUGCAGACGACGUCGUGCAGGAGUUCUUUGACGGCUUGGUAGAAGUGCCGGUCCGGUCCGACGAAAAGGAUAGCCUCACCCGCGACACCACCGAUGCGGAGAUGACACGCAUCGCCACUAGGCUGGAAGAGGUGGCGGCGGCCGCAGCCGCGGGCGAAUUUGGAUUCACCGUGGAGGAGGCAGAUGCAGCAGAGGCGGCAAGCCGUACCGAGCGAGGGGAGCCCGCCGGCGAGAAAGAGCUUGCCGGGCAUGGCGUCGAGUCGAGCGAGCCCGCCGAGGAUGCGAGCGGCUCGCUGGAGAUCAACUCCUCUUCCUCCUCAUCUUCAGGCAGCUCGCUGCAAGCAGAACCUCCAUCUCCACCAAGAAGGCGUCUCCGCAAGGCCGGGGACGUAGUGGGGCAGCGGGCAAGUGAACAGCCGCCGCGCCGCGCGACACGCUCCACCGCGGCAAGCACUGUUGCUGCGGGAGCACCUCACGCUGCUGCGGCAACUGGAGCGGGGUCGUCUCAUACCACCGCCACUGUUCCCGCCAAGCGGCCAAGGGAAACCACUCCUCCGCCUCCUCGCGCCGGACAUGAGCCAGACUUCGACUUCUCCGCGUUCAGCUCCGACAAGGAAGAAGAAGAGUAA
rnacentral:rRNA from 1 species